AUUGAACGCUGGCGGCAUGCUUUACACAUGCAAGUCGAACGGCAGCGCGGGGCAACCUGGCGGCGAGUGGCGAACGGGUGAGUAAUAUAUCGGAACGUACCCAAGAGUGGGGGAUAACGUAGCGAAAGUUACGCUAAUACCGCAUACGAUCUCAGGAUGAAAGUGGGGGACCGCAAGGCCUCAUGCUCCUGGAGCGGCCGAUAUCUGAUUAGCUAGUUGGNGAGGUAAAGGCUCACCAAGGCGACGAUCAGUAGCUGGUCUGAGAGGACGACCAGCCACACUGGGACUGAGACACGGCCCAGACUCCUACGGGAGGCAGCAGUGGGGAAUUUUGGACAAUGGGCGCAAGCCUGAUCCAGCAAUGCCGCGUGAGUGAAGAAGGCC
rnacentral:rRNA from 1 species